rnacentral:lncRNA from 10 species
AUACACUUGAAAAAUGUUUAAAGUUGUAAAUUUAAUGUUAGGUGUUUAUUACCACAAUUAAAACAAAAAUCUUGGGAAAGAUUUUUGAUGAACACCCCCUGGAUCAGGAGAUCCAUCCUGAAGCAACCAAUCGUGGCCAACAGGCAGUGAGCUCAGAACACAGGAGCCCGCAUUCAUGUGGAGGGAAGAGCAUUGAAUGUUCACUACUGCUGACCUUCAUAUAAUUUGAAACUAGUGAGAUGUGGGGAAGCUCGAAUCCUGAGGCUGAAAAAUAUCUGUAACAAUGCAAUUCAUAAAUGGAAGUGAAGAUUCAUUGAGAUUUCUGCAGAAGUAACAAUUCUGUAGUUUUCUAACAAAAGAAAGAGGUGAAAUAUUUAUUAUUUUUGAGUUGUCCUAGUCAGAGAUAUAAAACUAAUAAAUCUCAGUAGUACAAUCUGAGAUGACAGGACAGGGAGUGCAGGAAAGAUGGGCUUUUUGCUAAAGCUCUGGGAUAGAUAAAGAAUUCUUGCAUGGUAAAUAUUUCUCAAUGAGGUAUGGUCUUUUGAGUUCAGCCAUUUGAGGUCAUGUGCAAUUCAGAGCAAUAAGGAUUCAGUGAUUUUAAAAUAAAAACUUCUUGCUUUUGUAAUAUUACCUAGCACUUUGGGAUAAAAUGUUAAUCAUUGAUUUUCUGUUGAAACUCAGAUUUCUGCUGGGCUAGUAACUCAUUCUAAGUAGUCUUCCUGUGUGGAUGAUGAACUGGACUGUCUGGGAGA